rnacentral:rRNA from 1 species
UGGCUCAGAUUGAACGCUGGCGGCAGGNNUAACANNNGCAAGUCGGACGGUAGCACAGAGAGCUUNNNNUUGGGUGACGAGUGGCGGACGGGUGAGUAAUGUCUGGGGAUCUGCCCGAUAGAGGGGGAUAACCACUGGAAACGGUGGCUAAUACCGCAUAACGUCGCAAGACCAAAGAGGGGGACCUUCGGGCCUCUCACUAUCGGAUGAACCCAGAUGGGAUUAGCUAGUAGGCGGGGUAAUGGCCCACCUAGGCGACGAUCCCUAGCUGGUCUGAGAGGAUGACCAGCCACACUGGAACUGAGACACGGUCCAGACUCCUACGGGAGGCAGCAGUGGGGAAUAUUGCACAAUGGGCGCAAGCCUGAUGCAGCCAUGCCGCGUGUAUGAAGAAGGCCUUCGGGUUGUAAAGUACUUUCAGCGGGGAGGAAGGCGGUGAG